GAUCAAGCUAUAAAGGGCGCAUGGUGAAUGCCUUGGCAUCAGGAGUCGAAGAAGGUCGCGAUAAGCUGCGAUAAGCUCAGGGUAGGCGCACAUAGCCAGUGAUCCUGAGAUCACCGAAUGGGGCAACCCGCCGAAAGGCAUCCAUAGAGGAAUCCAUACUCUAUAGGAAGACACACCCGGAGAACUGAAACAUCUAAGUACCCGGAGGAAGAGAAAGAAACAUCGAUUUUCUUAGUAGCGGCGAGCGAAAAGGAAAGAGCCCAAACCAGGGAGCUUGCUCUCUGGGGUUGCGGACACUCAAGAAAGGGAAGAGGCCCCUUAGCCGAAGCUGUUGGGAAACAGCGCCAUAGAAGGUGACAGACCUGUAGGCGAAAAGGGAAGACGGACCGAGAGUGAUCCAGAGUACCACCGGACACGUGAAACCCGGUGGGAAGCAGGGAGGACCACCUCCCAAGGCUAAAUACUACCUGAUGACCGAUAGUGAAGCAGUACCGUGAGGGAAAGGUGAAAAGAACCCCGGAAGGGGAGUGAAAUAGAAUCUGAAACCGUGUGCCUACAACCGGUCAGAGCACCAUAAGCGUGUGAUGACGUGCUUUUUGUAGAACGAGCCAACGAGUUGUGAUAUGCAGCAAGGUUAAGCACUUCAGGUGCGCAGCCGAAGGGAAACCGAGUCUUAACACGGCGUCUAGUUGCAUGUUGCAGACCCGAAACCGGGUGACCUAUCCAUGGACAGGUUGAAGCGAGAGUAAAAUCUCGUGGAGGACCGAACCACAUUGGUGUUGAAAAACCAUGGGAUGAGCUGUGGAUAGCGGAGAAAUUCCAAUCGAACUCGGAGAUAGCUGGUUCUCCUCGAAAUAGCUUUAGGGCUAGCGUUGGAUGAUGAGUCAUGGAGGUAGAGCACUGAAUGGGCUAGGGGGCAUAUCGCUUACCGAACCUUAUCAAACUCCGAAUGCCAAAGACUUUAAUCCGGCAGUCAGACAGUGACAGAUAAGUGCCAUUGUCAAAAGGGAAAAAGCCCAGAUCGUCAGCUAAGGUCCCCAAGUAUAGGUUAAGUGGAAAAGGAUGUGGGAUUUCUAAGACAACUAGGAUGUUGGCUUAGAAGCAGCCACUCAUUAAAAGAGUGCGUAAUAGCUCACUAGUCGAGAGAUCCUGCGCCGAAGAUGUCCGGGGCUAAAACCUAUCACCGAAGCUACGGGUGUAUAUUUUAAUAUACGCGGUAGAGGAGCGUUCUUAACGGGGCGAAGCAGUACCGAAAGGAGCUGUGGACUGUUAAGAAGUGAGAAUGUUGGCAUAAGUAGCGAGAUGCGGGUGAGAAUCCCGCAGGUCGAAAAUCUAAGGUUUCCUGAGGAAGGUUCGUCCGCUCAGGGUUAGUCGGGGCCUAAGCCGAGGCUGAGAAGCGUAGGUGAUGGACAAUCUGUUGAUAUUCAGAUACCGGCAUGAAGCGUUAACACGAUGGGGUGACGCAGGAGGAUAGGGUAACAGGCGGUUGGAAGAGCCUGUCGAAGUAUUCGAGGGAGUCAGAGGAGGCAAAUCCCUUCUGGCAUAUUCUGAGAUACGAAAAUACCCGAGUUCACGCUGCCAAGAAAAGCCUCUAAGGAGCGACAUGCUGCCCGUACCGCAAACCGACACAGGUAGAUGAGGAGAGAAUCCUAAGACCAUCGGAAGAAUUGUUGUUAAGGAACUCGGCAAAUUAACCCCGUAAGUUCGCGAGAAGGGGUGCCAUGGCGACAUGGCCGCAGUGAAAUGGCCCAAGCAACUGUUUAACAAAAACACAGGUCUCUGCAAAAGCGCAAGCUGAAGUAUAGGGGCUGACGCCUGCCCGGUGCUGGAAGGUUAAGGGGAAUGCUUAGCGCAAGCGAAGGUAUGAACUUAAGCCCCAGUAAACGGCGGCCGUAACUAUAACGGUCCUAAGGUAGCGAAAUUCCUUGUCAGGUAAGUUCUGACCCGCACGAAUGGCGUAAUGACUUGGGCACUGUCUCAACAACAAAUCCGGCGAAAUUGUAGUGCCAGUGAAGAUGCUGGCUACCCGCGAUUGGACGGAAAGACCCCGUAGAGCUUUACUGUAGCUUAGCAUUGAGUUUCGAUAUUUACUGUACAGGAUAGGUGGGAGACGAAGAACCAUGGUCGUCAGGUCAUGGGGAGUCACCGUUGGGAUACCACCCUGUAGAUAUUGGGAUUCUAACCGGAGACCAGGAAACGGGUCACGGGACAUUGCUAGGUGGGCAGUUUGACUGGGGCGGUCGCCUCCUAAAAAGUAACGGAGGCGCCCAAAGGUUCCCUCAGGACGGUCGGAAAUCGUCCAUAGAGUGUAAAGGCAGAAGGGAGCCUGACUGCGACACCUACAAGUGGAGCAGGGACGAAAGUCGGGCUUAGUGAUCCGGUGGUACCUCGUGGGAGGGCCAUCGCUCAACGGAUAAAAGCUACCUCGGGGAUAACAGGCUGAUCUCCCCCAAGAGUUCACAUCGACGGGGAGGUUUGGCACCUCGAUGUCGGCUCGUCACAUCCUGGGGCUGAAGUAGGUCCCAAGGGUUGGGCUGUUCGCCCAUUAAAGUGGCACGCGAGCUGGGUUCAGAACGUCGUGAGACAGUUCGGUCCCUAUCCGUCGCGGGCGUAGGAAAUUUGAAGGGAGCUGACCUUAGUACGAGAGGACCGGGUUGGACCAAUCACUGGUGUACCAGUUGUCGCGCCAGCGGCAUGGCUGGGUAGCUAUAUUGGGACGGGAUAAACGCUGAAAGCAUCUAAGCGUGAAGCCCACCCUGAGACAAGAUUUCCCAUGGAGUAAUCCAGUAAGAUCCCUUGAAGAACACAAGGUAGAUAGGUGAGGGGUGUAAGUGCAGCAAUGCAUGCAGCUGACUCAUACUAAUCGAUCGAGGGCUUGAUCUU
rnacentral:rRNA from 1 species